GUGCUCCCUUUGGUAGCACAUAUACUAAAAUUGGAACAAUGCAGAGAAAAUUAGUACAUCCCCUAUGCAAGGAUGACAUACAAAUAAAGAUAAUGAUUUAUGGUCUUU
rnacentral:snRNA from 2 species